UACGUAGGGUGCGAGCGUUAAUCGGAAUUACUGGGCGUAAAGCGUGCGCAGGCGGUUUUGUAAGCCAGAUGUGAAAUCCCCGGGCUCAACCUGGGAAUGGCAUUUGGGACUGCAAGGCUGGAGUGCGGAAGAGGAGACUGGAAUUCCUGGUGUAGCGGUGAAAUGCGCAGAUAUCAGGAGGAACACCGAUGGCGAAGGCAGGUCUCUGGGCCACUACUGACGCUGAGAAGCGAAAGUGUGGGGAGCGAACAGG
rnacentral:rRNA from 1 species